GUAGCAACAGGAAUUGCACCUGGUCCUGGAAUCCCACCUACAGAGGUCACAACUGAUUCUUGGGUUACACAACCGGACCCAGAGAAAGCAGCCCAGCUUUUCACACAGGCAGCUCUUGAAAACAAACAACAUAUGGAGCCCCUCACAUUCACUCUGAGUCUUAUGGACUCUGAAGAAGAGAGACACAGAGCAAUCAUCUCAUUAUACAAGAGGCCCAGGGUGGAGUGGGCAAGGCCCCUAACUUGCAGAUUGAUUGGUGACAUUUUUUUACUAUUCCUGCAAAUACAUAGAUAUGUGAAUUUAUUAUGUUAGGUUUGUGUAGCUGUGACUUAGAUGGUGUAGUUUUUCCAGAAACCUGUGGUGUAACUUAUAAUAAAAGCAAAUUUUUGACUUAGGUGACUCUGCUAUUGGUGAAGACGUAAAACGGCAUGUGCUGUCCACUGUGAUGGGAGCUGUCCAGAGUGGUUUCCUUCUGGAUGAAAAAAAAGGUAUGUCACACUAUAUUUGUUUUGCAUACAGAAGAAUGUCUGUGUCUGUUAUUUGACAGUUUUCUCCUCUGAAGGGAGAGUGCUUCUCUUCGAGGGAGAGAGCGACCACCUUA